UACGGAGGGUGCAAGCGUUAUCCGGAUUCACUGGGUUUAAAGGGUGCGUAGGCGGGCAGGUAAGUCAGUGGUGAAAUCCUAGAGCUUAACUCUAGAACUGCCAUUGAUACUAUCUGUCUUGAAUAUUGUGGAGGUAAGCGGAAUAUGUCAUGUAGCGGUGAAAUGCUUAGAUAUGACAUAGAACACCAAUUGCGAAGGCAGCUUACUACACGGUCAUUGACGCUGAGGCACGAAAGCGUGGGGAUCAAACAGG
rnacentral:rRNA from 1 species